rnacentral:rRNA from 1 species
UACGUAGGGUGCAAGCGUUAAUCGGAAUUACUGGGCGUAAAGCGUGCGCAGGCGGUUUUGUAAGUUUGUCGUGAAAGCCCCGGCUCAACCUGGGAAUUGCGAUGAAGACUGCAAGGCUUGAAUCUGGCAGAGGGGGGUAGAAUUCCACGUGUAGCAGUGAAAUGCGUAGAGAUGUGGAGGAACACCGAUGGCGAAGGCAGCCCCCUGGGUCAAGAUUGACGCUCAUGCACGAAAGCGUGGGGAGCAAACAGG